rnacentral:rRNA from 1 species
GACGAACGCUGGCGGCGUGCUUAACACAUGCAAGUCGAGCGGUAAGGCCCUUUCGGGGUACGACGAGCGGCGAACGGGUGAGUAACACGUGGGUGACCUGCCCUCAGCUCUGGGAUAAGCCUGGGAAACCGGGUCUAAUACUGGAUAUGACUCCAUGACGCAUGUUGUGGGGUGGAAAGCCUUGUGCGGCUGAGGAUGGGCCCGCGGCCUAUCAGCUUGUUGGUGGGGGUGANGGCCUACCAAGGCGACGACGGGUAGCCGGCCUGAGAGGGCGACCGGCC